rnacentral:tRNA from 1 species
GGGGAUAUAGCUCAGAGGUAGAGGAGUUGGGCUGCAGACCAAGAGAUCCCUGGUUUAAAUCCAGGUGCUGCCU